rnacentral:rRNA from 1 species
GUCUUUUUGAAUUUAAUUUAAAGUCUAACCUGCCCACUGAAAUUAUUUAAAGGGCCGCGGUAUUUUGACCGUGCAAAGGUAGCAUAAUCAAUAGUUUUUUAAUUGAAAACUUGUAUGAAUGGUUGAACGAAAUAUUUACUGUCUCAUAAAAAUUUAUAUUAGAAAUUAAUUUUUUUAUUAAAAAGUAAAAAUAAAAUUAAAAGACGAGAAGACCCUAUAGAGCUUUAUAAAUUUAUUUUUUAUAGUUUAAAAGAAUAUUUUUAUUUUAAAAGAUAAAUUUAUUUUGUUGGGGUGACAAUAAAAUUUAAAAAACUUUUAUUAUUAAUUUACAUUGAUUUAUGAAUAUUUGAUCCAUUUAUAAUGAUUAAAAGUUUAAGUUACCUUAGGGAUAACAGCGUAAUUUUUUUUGAGAGUUCAUAUCGACAAAAAAGAUUGCGACCUCGAUGUUGGAUUAAGAGUUAUAUUUAGGUGUAGAAGUUUAAAAUUUAGGUCUGUUCGACCUUUAAAUUCUU